AGAAGGCCUGGUGUGUGUGAGAUU
rnacentral:rRNA from 1 species